AGCGAACGCUGGCGGCAGGCCUAAUACAUGCAAGUCGAGCGGGUCCUUCGGGAUUAGCGGCGGACGGGUGAGUAACGCGUGGGAACGUGCCCUUUGGUACGGAACAACUGAGGGAAACUUCAGCUAAUACCGUAUGUGCCCUUCGGGGAAAGGAUUUAUCGCCAUUGGAGCGGCCCGCGUUGGAUUAGGUAGUUGGUGAGGUAAAGGCUCACCAAGCCUACGAUCCAUAGCUGGUCUGAGAGGAUGACCAGCCACACUGGGACUGAGACACGGCCCAGACUCCUAC
rnacentral:rRNA from 1 species